UACGAAGGGGGCUAGCGUUGCUCGGAAUCACUGGGCGUAAAGCGCACGUAGGCGGCUUUUUAAGUCAGGGGUGAAAUCCUGGAGCUCAACUCCAGAACUGCCUUUGAUACUGGGAAGCUUGAGUCCGGGAGAGGUGAGUGGAACUCCGAGUGUAGAGGUGAAAUUCGUAGAUAUUCGGAAGAACACCAGUGGCGAAGGCGGCUCACUGGCCCGGUACUGACGCUGAGACGCGAAAGCGUGGGGAGCGAACAGG
rnacentral:rRNA from 1 species